UGACCCAAUAGUCCCUUCACUCUCCUGUCCCCAAGAAAAUUCAAAUCACAAAUAUGGACGGGCGCCUUGAGCAGAAUCGUUUGAACGAUGAUUCAAAUUUACAGAUUACCAUUAGACUGAUAAUGCAAGGAAAGGAGGUCGGCAGUAUUAUUGGGAAAAAAGGUGAAAUUGUUAAAAGGUUUCGAGAAGAGAGUGGUGCCAAAAUAAA
rnacentral:lncRNA from 1 species